rnacentral:rRNA from 1 species
AGAGUUUGAUCCUGGCUCAGGACGAACGCUGGCGGCGCGCUUAACACAUGCAAGUCGAGCGAGAACCGGUCCUUCGGGACCGGGGAAAGCGGCGAACGGGUGAGUAACACGUGGGUAAUCAACCCUCGGUACCGGGAUAGCCCGAGGAAACUCGGAUUAAUACCGGAUGGCCCAGCAGCUCUUCGGGGCGGCUGGAAAAG